GUGAAAACACUAGACUCAGUCGCAUGCCUCCCCAGCCCAGCUCCUCAGGCUUGGAGUUGACCUUCUCCCGCCUUCAGCCUCAGCUCGGUUUCUCACAAGGCGAAGUGUAGGACUGCCAGCGACCGACCAGCAGCCAGGCCUCAGCAGUCGCCAUUAAAGGAAAGGAAAAGCUGGCUCUGAGGCACGUCCCCACUAAUGCCUGAUGGUUCCCUGAAGUGCCAAGUUCCGGGGGCAGCAGGGAUGCAAGAUUAUGUGAAAAGACCCUCCCCAAUCAGCAGUUUGAGUCAAGGGCGGAAGCGUUUUUUAACACAGGCCAGACUGGGUCGUUAAGAGCGAAAUGAAUCUGGGUUUAGAGGCGCGGGGGGCGCUUUAUGGCGGCGUCUAGACGAGGAUCUUUUGUUCCUGGGCAGCGCUGCGGCUGGAGGGGAUUACCCCAAGAGGUCGUGUCCAGAGUGCCCCUGGCCCGCAAGGGGGGUUGGACAUUCAGAAGUAUGAAGAGAAGAAGCUACCGCCAGAAUCCUGACCCUGCCAGUGGAGAAGAGCUCCAGCAUGGGCCUGCCUUGCCUCUGCAUGCUUGUGCUCACCCGUGGGGGUCUCUGGCUUUUUAACUCCCCCUCUUCCUCUUCCUCCUUGCCUUCUGCACCACCACCUCCUCCUCCUCCUCCUCCUUAGACUUGGGAGGAUGGAGGGUUUUAAGAGGAGAGGGGUUAAUAAAAAGGUCAAAUAAAAUCAUAAUAUUGAAUAGAAUGAAAUAUCUUUAUUUGCCAACAAAAAAAAAAUAACAGCAACCCCUCUGGGUGGGGAGCAGGUUGGGGAUUGCACAUGUACACACGCACUC